CUUGUUGGAAGUAGCAAGAGGAUGUUUUUUCGGAAAGCAUUAAAUUAGAUAUUAUCGUUGCAAAAUGAUUUGGCGUUGUCAUCUUUAAUCGGCGAUUCUUGUAUUGAAACAGAAACUAAUGUUUCAUCUGGCAAACCUCACUUAAUUAAACGAUCACUGAAAUAUCUUGCUGAUUCGGACCUAUUUUAUGUGAACGAUCUCAGAAGCAACGUUGUUUAUCAAAUUCACAGUACAAUUUAAUUAUAGAAUCGGCCAUCUUCUUCGAUGAAACCGCAUAUGAUUCGUUCUCGCCUUUUCUGGACGGAAAUGACACGAAGAUACGUAAUACGUUGGUGACAUGCGUGAAUGGUCUUCAAACUGUGUUCAUCCAAGUCUCGGCCUCUAUCAAUAUAUAAUAUAUUGACGUACAUUUUGCAAAUGCAACCACCAGAUCUGCCACAUUUUGGCGGCGGUGCUUGUAAACUGCUGGAUUUGUUUUGCAAAUAUGCGGAAAAUUUUAAUCCUUUGGACGAUAAUAAUCCGCAUCUUAACUGGAUUAAAUCUUUAUUAUCCUUCGGUGAAGAAGAGACUUAACUGCCGCGGGAAAUGGCUCAUGCAUCUCGCAGUCGUCUUGUGCAAUAGUAGAAUUUGGUGUUCGACCAGAAGAUCUUAGACGUACGAUGUACGAAUUUUGCAUCGAUUUAUGCUGCACAUGAGAUUGGCCAUAAGUAAAUUGGAUGAUGAAUGAAUGUUCGAAAGGUGAUUACAACGUGUCACCUGAACGGGGCUUUCGAGGCAAGACGGUUUGGUCUUGAAGUCGACAGAUAGCUGAAAAACUGUGGCAGACGAAGCAUUGCUUUCUAGAUCAACCGGACGAUAUCUCGAAUGUUGAUAAGCUCAAUCGUUUGCGGUAUAACGAUUAUAUCAAAAGAGAAUGAACCGUCGAAAGGCAAUGUGAAUUAUUUUUGUGCAACAAAAACGCAAACGUUGUCACACUGCGUGAUGUGCGCCAGUCCUUACAAUGCGAGUCGCCUGACAAAAAUAAAUACUACUUCGCGGGAAAUGAAUAUUACUGCGCUGGACGAAAUUCAUUGCGCACCCGGUAAAGAGUGCCACGACGGCGAAUGCGUGCCUACUUUCGGAUCGUCGGACAUUUUGAACCAUAGUGGAGAGGGUAACUGAAGUGAAUGGAAAGAAGACUCCUGUAGAAACCAUUGCUCGGAGAAAUCCAAAGGCGUACUAGCCAAACAUCGAUUUUGCCGGGAUGAGAAUAACAGAACAGUGAAGAGCCAUCUUGUGACGUGAUGUUGUCUGAUGACUCGACACUUUGCACUGAGGAACACUGGACGAUCGACGAGUUCAUUACCAUAAAGUGCGGGUUUUUCAGCCUUGGUGCGCCGCGCUGAGGGAGUUUAGGCAGUUUACGAUGAUGACAUGCCGUGGACGGCUUGUUAUUCCGUCGACAUCGUUACUUGUUACGCUCCACGCGUGAAAAUUGGAAUCUGGCCAUACUUGCUGGUGCCACGUUGAAAAUGGAUCGUCAGGAUUUUUUUGGUUGUAAGCAUCAUUGUUUGGAAAACUAUUGAUCUGAAAGAAAAUCGCCGAAAAAUUAUCUCUAAACGAGGAUCCCACUUUAAAAGAGGCACGUUAUUUCCUCUUGAAGUCUCUUUCCCGCGUUACUAAUUGCUCAAUUCGCACGUUCAGUUUGAAUGUUACUAUAUGUCAUCGAUCGGUUGCCAUCGAGACGAUUGCGUUUGACAGCUUGUAUCUUUGUUAUUAUACAAAAAAUAGAAGUGUUUUAUAGAAAGUAAAAAUGUUAAUUAUUAUAUAACGGGAACAAAUGGCGCGCGCUUGUGUAGCCUAGUAGAUA
rnacentral:lncRNA from 1 species